UAAGAAGCCUUCACGUGCCUGCACAAGCGUCUCUGUGAUAUUUAAAGCUUUUCUUUUGUAGUGCUUUUGUAAUUAUGUAGUGUCCUUGUGUUCCCUUAUGUUUACACGUGAAAAGCAAGAGCAUAACCUGAUUAACAAAGAGGGUGUGUUGCAGUUUCAUUCUAACAUGCUAUUGAAAUGUAAUAGCAUCAAAGGAAGGAAAUAGGACUAUUAUUCUUGCAAUUAGUAUUUUGCUUGAUACUGGUCAGUGGUUCAGGUGGAGCUAUAUAAAAAUAAUUAAGCACUGCAGUCACUUUCAUUUAAAUGCCUUACUCACUUUAUAUACAAUGUCCAAUACCAAUGCUCAGGUGGAAAGUGUUAUAGAUAGCAUUCCAUAUCCUUUGCAGGAGACCACAACAUCCACUUUCCAGCCAUUGUGAAACUCAAAACAGGAAGUUAUGUGAUGAGUUCAACCAAUUACAUGUCUAGUCCUGGAAGUGGGUUGUCUCUGGUGUAGACAGCACCCGAGUUCACUUGAAGCAAACCUCAGAACAUCAUUUUUCAAGCAAACCAGCAGUCAGUCCUCUGUAUCAGAGCUGAGUUUGAAUACAGCAUGAGUAUUCAACUAAAAAUUUUUGAAGUUCCAGUUUGACAAAAUGCCUUGCUUACAAAAGUCCAGAUAAGCACCUAACAUGAUUGAAUGGGGCCAGCAGUUACCUUUUAAUGCUUAGGCAUUAGUGGUUAGUGAUACAAGGGGUUAUGUUUCAUAGUGGUACUUCACAGACUCUCACCAGAUGAAUUAUAUCAGUUUGAAACUUGAAGCGAGGAAAAUAAAUGUAUACUUCUCUGUCCAUUUGUCUUUAAACAUUCUGUUUUCAUCUUUUUUUUUUUUUUGAGAUCAAGCCACGUCAUCAAUUCACUAAUCAGACCAGACAGGGAAUUGAAAAUUCUUCUCUUUUUGAUGAGCUUGCCUUCAGCUAAAAAUUUAUAUAAAUGCAUAUAAUUGGAUCUGCCACAACAGAGGAUCUGCUACAGAAGCCAAGCCCACUAAAAUACUUUGCUAGGUGUGCAUUGGUCUGAGGUUCACCAGUUUACAACCACCGGAAUACAGCCUUCACACUUGUGCCAAACACUUGAUGUGGUGUGAAAACGCUCUAGAAGUAUGUUUGCAGAAAUAAAUGAUGUAGACUAAA